rnacentral:tRNA from 1 species
ACCUGGCUGGCUCAGUUGGUGGAGCAUGUGACUCUUGAUCUCAGGAUUGUGGGUUCGAGCCCCAUCUUGGGUA